rnacentral:tRNA from 1 species
UAUUCUUUUAGUAUUAUUUAGUACAACUGACUUCCAAUCAGUUAGACUUGGUAAACCCCAAGAAAGAAUAA